GACGAGUCUUGUCGUGUCUCAGUGAGCUGAACGGAAUGUGAAAAGAAGGGAUUAAGCUACGUUAAAGGAGCCGGAUGAGAGAAAAGAAGUCAUGGAAGCCGAUAUCAAGUGAAGACGCCACCAGAGGGGUUUCCUACAGAGCAAACUGGAAGUCCUUCUUGCUGCUGUUGGGAUUUCAACCUGGCUUUGCCAUAACUCAAGGC